AGGACCCGGAAGUAUGGCGUUUCUUCGUGUUACCCCGCGCGAACUCUAGCGGAGACCCGUAGUUGGCGAGCUCAGGCGGGGACCAUGCUGACUCGGGUGAGGCUCUGGCGGUCGAGCGCCCCGGGCUGAAGCCACCGAGAGGCAGGGUGGACUGGGAUGGGACCCGCACUGCCCACAGCCCGGAACCGUGCUGAGUGUGUUCCUGGUGCUGCUGCUGUCCCGCGGGCCGGCGACAUUGUCACUGCGAGCUUUCUCAGCCCUGGGUGCACCCCGGUGAUGAGGGGAGAGCCAGAAAGUUGGGGCGAUGCUUAUUUCCGUAAAUAAACUUUGGAAUACUUUUUUCUUUACAGUCUUACUUUAAAAGACAAACAACAACAACAAAACUUUUAUGGCUUCUGAAUUUUUUUUUUUUUUAGCAUAGAUUCACCUCUAACACUUGGUAAUUACCACUUCGAGAAAAACCAUGAAAUAAUUUUGUUACAAGUAAGGAGUUGAUCCAACGGCAGGAACUGACAUUUUAAAAAUCAGGAAGCCCCACUCCUGACUAGCUAUUAUUGGCAGUAGCUGGCUUGAGGCCGGGAGAGAGUUGUCUUUGGGGUAUGGCUCCACACCCCCAUGUGCAUAACGACAGCACUAAUUGUUCCCGAGUGGAUUUUUUAAAAGGACAUGAAGUUGGAAGGGGAACACACAGUGGGAGUCUGGGUGGAGUUGGAGUGGUGUGGAGACGUGUUUAUUAAAGUAUGUUGUAGACAGGUAUGGAAGUCUCCACGAAUAAGUAGAGAUAUAAAGAAAAUUUAAUGUCACUGUCAACUUUCAAUAAAUAUGUGAUAUCACAGUGUGUUGUCAGCACCUUUUUCUUAUCAUCAUAGCUGAAAGCAAAAUCAGAGGGGAAGCUUGCCAAACAGCUAUGCAGAGUUGUGUUGGAUCAGUUUGACAAACAGUAUUCGAAAGAACUUGGGGAUUCCUGGAGUACAGUAAGGUCAGUAUGGUUCGUCUCUUGAUAUUUUGUGAGAGGAAAGGGAAGUAUGUAGCAAAUACCUCCUUGAGAGUGGCACAGUCCAGGAGGGAGGAGGUGACUGUACAUUUUAUGUGUGAAGGAAUCACCUGGCAUGUAGAAAUGUGGGGCAGAUAGUAAUGCCCUCUCAAGCACUUGGCUUUUAUCUGUAAAAUGGGGAGGCACCACAUUUUAAAACAACGCUGUAAUAAAAAUCCUAACUUGGAAGAAAUUUAACUUAAUGAAAUUCAGGUAAUACCAAGUCCUUAAAGUCAGUGUUCC
rnacentral:lncRNA from 1 species